AGAACAACUGCCAACAUGGUAAGAGCACUCACAUUCGUUGCACUUCAGGACGCGUCCAUCACAGGGGAGGGGCUCACCACAAGACUGGCAUGUGCUUGCCAUGGUACGUUGUCCAGGCCUUCAC
rnacentral:lncRNA from 1 species